GUGGUCGCGGGAGAGAUACGGGGGAAGAGGGGGAGGGGGAGAGAGGCUCGACGUUAACACAAUAUCUGAGGGAUAUUACAGAGACUAAAGUCUGGCUUUUAUAUCAGAAAAAACAUAUGCUAAAUGGAUCUGAAUUAAACGCGUUUCAUCCAUGUUCUAGGAAGGUUGGCGUCCGGCAGAACGACCGAAUCAGCACCAUGGACAGCGACCGUAGUUUGGAAAGGAUUUAAGUUCACCAGCUCCCUCUUCAGGAUGGCCAGUCAGCGCUAAGCUAAGUAGUCGGGUGUAGCAGGCUUGACUGGAG
rnacentral:lncRNA from 1 species